AAAGAAAUCGUUAAGGGCGUAUGGCGGAUGCCUAGGCUUUCAGAGGCGACGAAGGACGUGGUAAGCUGCGAAAAGCUGCGGGGAUUGGCACACACGAAUUGAUCCGCAGAUGUCCGAAUGGGGCAACCCGUCUGGUUGAAGACCAGUCACUCCGCAAGGAGAGCAAACCAGGAGAACUGAAACAUCUAAGUACCCUGAGGAAAAGAAAUCGAAGAGAUUCCGUAAGUAGUGGCGAGCGAACGCGGAUUAGCCCAAAAGCUUUUAUAUGUUUAAUAGAAUGUUCUGGAAAGAACAGCCAUAGAGGGUGAUAGCCCCGUAUAUGAAAGGCAUAUUAAAGUGAUAAAUGAGUAGGGCGGGACACGUGAAAUCCUGUUUGAAUAUGGGGGGACCAUCCUCCAAGGCUAAAUACUCCUGAAAGACCGAUAGUGAACAAGUACUGUGAAGGAAAGGUGAAAAGCACUUCGAAUAGAAGGGUGAAAUAGAACCUGAAACCGUACGCCUACAAGCGGUCGGAGCCCACAAGUUGGGUGACGGCGUGCCUUUUGCAUAAUGAGCCUACGAGUUAAUGUUACUAGCGAGGUUAAGCACUUCAGGUGCGGAGCCGGAGCGAAAGCGAGUCUGAAUAGGGCGCUUAGUUAGUAGUAUUAGACGCGAAACCUUGUGAUCUACCCAU
rnacentral:rRNA from 1 species